AUUGAACGCUGGCGGCAGGCCUAACACAUGCAAGUCGAGCGGUAGAGAGGUGCUUGCAUCUCUUGAGAGCGGCGGACGGGUGAGUAAUGCCUAGGAAUCUGCCUAGUGGUGGGGGAUAACGUUCGGAAACGGACGCUAAUACCGCAUACGUCCUACGGGAGAAAGCGGGGGGAUCUUCGGACCUCGCGCCAUUAGAUGAGCCUAGGUCGGAUUAGCUAGUUGGUGAGGUAAUGGCUCACCAAGGCGACGAUCCGUAACUGGUCUGAGAGGAUGAUCAGUCACACUGGAACUGAGACACGGUCCAGACUCCUACGGGAGGCAGCAGUGGGGAAUAUUGGACAAUAGGGCGAAAGCCUGAUCCAGCCAUGCCGCGUGUGUGAAGAAGGUCUUCGGAUUGUAAAGCACUUAAGUUGGGAGGAAGGGUAGUAACCUAAUACGUUGCUACUUUGACGUUACCGACAGAAUAAGCACCGGCUAACUUCGUG
rnacentral:rRNA from 1 species